rnacentral:pre_miRNA from 1 species
GAGGAUGCUGAUCAUUCACUGGCCCCCUGUGGACACGUGUGUUGCACAUGUGUCCACAGGGGGCCAGUAAAUGAUCAGCAUCCUCCA